AAAGCCAAGCGUGCAACGACCGACAAGAAGAUGAGCAGCACUGAUACGCAGAGAGAGCAUGUGCACAAAAUGCCUUCAAUACCAUACAGUUUUACCAUUCUGCUGUAUUGCCACUCUUGCUCUUGCUCCUCUGUUGGCAGUGCACGGUAAGUGUGAUAGUGAAAUUGGGAAAUAUAGACUACUCUGAAUCCCACAGAGAGAAUAAUUCCCAGGAUUGCAACUAUAUACAUGGCCAAACAAACUGUCACCUGAAAGACAUGAAAUUGUUUAUUGACUCCAGGCUCAAACUGUCACCACAAUAAAACCUCAAUCACA